rnacentral:rRNA from 1 species
CCUACGGGGGGCAGCAGUGGGGAAUAUUGGGCAAUGGGCGCGAGCCUGAACCAGCCAAGUCGCGUGAGGGAGGACGGCCCUACGGGUUGUAAACCUCUUUUGCCGGGGAGCAACGGGCGCCACGUGUGGCGUCACUUAGAGUACCCGGAGAAAAAGCAUCGGCUAACACCGUGCCACCAGCCGCGGUAAUACGGGGGAUGCGAGUGUUAUCCGGAUUUAUUGGGUUUAAGGGGUGCGUAGGCGGAUCGUUAAGUCAGUGGUCAAAUUGAGGGGCUCAACCCUUUCCCGCCAUUGAAACUGGCGUUCUUGAGUGGAAGAGAAGUAUGGGGAAAGCGUGGUG